CCUACGGGCGGCAGCAGUGAGGAAUAUUGGUCAAUGGACGAAAGUCUGAACCAGCCAUGCCGCGUGAAGGAAGACGGCUCUAUGAGUUGUAAACUGCUUUUGUACGGGGGUAAAACGAGAUACGUGUAUCCGGUUGAAAGUAUCUUAUGACUAAGGAUCGGCCAACUCCGUGCCAGCAGCCGCGGUAAUACGGAGGAUUCAAGCGUUAUCCGGAUUUAUUGGGUUUAAAGGGUGCGUAGGUGGUUUGAUAAGUCAGAUGUGAAAUCUCGCGGCUCAACUCUGGCAGUGCGAGUGAUACUGGCGGGCUAGAGUAUAGUUGCGGUAGGCGGAAUGUAUGGUGUAGCGGUGAAAUGCAUAGAGAUCAUGCAGAACACCGAUUGCGAAGGCAGCUUACCAAACUGCGACUGACGUUGAGGCACGAAAGCGUGGGGAGCAAACAGGAUUAGAUACCCGAGUAGUC
rnacentral:rRNA from 1 species